UCUGGAGGAGCAGCAAUGAAGGCAAUAAUAAAUACAGAAGUUGCCGUCAAUAAGGUAGGGAUCAUCAAAACACCAAACCAUCCAAUGUAAAGACGGUUUUCAAUGCUAGUUAUUGUAACGACUUUUUUAGUCAUUUUGAGCAGCAGAUUUUAUUUCUGGAAAAACAGACUGAGGCGACGGACCCCACGACGGACCGUCAUGGGCACGACGGACCGUCGCAGGGUCUCGUUUCAAAACGCUUAGAAAAUCUGUAAUUGGGUACUGAAAAUCGACUCUCUGAACUUCGUAACGGAAUGGCAGGACGGACCGUCACAGGUGUGACGGACCAUCACAGACUCUUCAGAGAAAUUGAGUCUCUGAACUCUGUGACGGGCAGCAGGACGGACCGUCGCAGGCGCAACGGGCCAUCACAGACUGCGAAAUCCCAGUCUGGGUCGGAUUUCUUUACACAUUUUAAGGGACGUUUUGGACUAUUCCUACUUUAAUUAUAAAGUUAGAGGGUUAAUGUUAAUAAGUCUAAUUACUUGGGGGUUAAAAGAGGUAACCUUAAGUUAAUUAGUGGGUCAUUAUUGCCACCUUCUAUUCUUAAUUAUAUACUAAUUAGGGUAAAAUAAAGAGCGUUGGAAUAAGAAAAAGAAAAGAACAGAGACGAUCGAGAAGGGGAAAAACACAAAGCUUUGGGAAAAUAUGCUUGCUUAAUCACGAAUCUUUGGUGGAGGUAGGUUAUGGUUUCUCUUACGAUAUUCGUAGUAAAAACUUAAUAGCGAAUGAUAUGUAUUGAUAAUAUUGUAAACCCUUCUAUGUGCUUAAUUGUAUGCUUGCAUGAAUGUAAUUAUAUAAUUGUGAUUAUAUAAGCAUGAUGAAGUUAUUGAAUUCCAAAAUCUUGCAAAACCCUAAUCUACUUUGUUAAUGAUGAUGCCUUGGUAUAAAAGAAGGCUUGAUGAACGAAAGUAGUGAGAUUAGGGGAUCGGGUGCCACGUUUCGGUACCAGGAUAGAAUGAGGAUCGGAGUGUCACGUUCCGACACCAGGAUAGAAUAUGGAUCGGGUGCCACGUUCCGGUACCAGGAUAGAAUAUGGAUUGGGUGUCACGUUCCGACACCAGGAUAGAAUAUGGAUCGGGUGCCACGUUCCGGUACCAGGAUAGAAUGAGGAUCGGAGUGUCACGUUCCGACCCCAGGAUAGUAUAUGGAUCGGGUAUCACGUUCCGACACCAGGAUAGAAUAUGGAUCGGGUGCCACAUUUCGGUACCAGGAUAGAAUAUGGAUCGGGUGUCACGUUCCGACACAGGAUAGAAUGAGGAUCGGAGUGUAACGUUCCGACACCAGGAUAGUAUAUUGAGGAGCGGAGUGUCACGUACCAAAACGAGAGGAAUAAAGAUAAUGAAUCUUGAAAGAUGUUAAAAUAUUCAACCUAAUGAACCUAAUUCCCAAAUGAGUAUGAUGAGGAGGCGUGAGUCCUCAUUGAUGAGCUUGGUGUUGUAACCAAGGGUUAUGGUAAUUGUAAAUGCUGCAUGCUAAGGAUAUUAGUUGAUUUUAUGAUAUUAUCUAAUAUAUACUGCUUUCUAUUUUGAGUUGGCCGAUGAUAUCUACUCAGUACCCGUGUUUUGUACUGACCCCUACUUUUAUGUUUUCUUCUUGUUUAUUUGUGGAGUGCAGCAAACGUGCCAUCGUCUUCAACUCAACUGUAAUUCUAGCCAGUCUUCGUCACACCGGAUCUUCAGGGUGAGCUAAUACUUCUAGCUUGGACUGGAUCUUCUCCUUCAUGUCUCGAUGCCUUGAACUCCCUGCAUGGACUAGCUUUUAUUUGUUUUAGCUUCUUAGAAUACUCUUAGUUUAGUAAUUUGAUCAUAGAUGUUCUUGUGGUGAUGACUUCCAGAUUUUGGGGAUAAUAACAGUUAUUGAUUUUAUUAAUGAGUUUAAGUCUUCCACAUUACUUUCUGUUGAUAUUAUAUUGAAAUGUUAAGGUUUAGAUUGGUUGGUUCGCUCACAUAGGAGGGUAAGUGUGGGUGCCUGUCGCGGCCCAGAUUUGGGUCGUGACAAACUUGGUAUCCGAGCAUUAGGUUCGUUGGUCUCAUCACACAAGAACAAGUCUAGCAGAGUCUUAAGGAACGGUAGGGGGACGCCUUUACUUUUCUUUGAGAGGCUAUAAGACUUUAGGAAAAUUCCAUUCUUUCAUUCUUUCUUUCGUGCUACUACUUGAAUCCAAUUGGUAUCUAGGUGAUACAAAUUGGUAUCUGACCAUCUUCACUCUCUUUAGCAGAUGGUUAGAACUAGAGCAACGACUACGCCAACACCAACACCAGCACCGGCAGGACAGGGUGCGUCUGAGCCAGCCACUGGGGCUGUAGCUCGAGGAAGAGCAGCGGCAAGAUGCCGUGGUAGAGGUCGUGGGAGGACGUCCUCUAGGGGAAGAGGACGAGCACCUAGUCCAUCUGAUACUAGGGCAGUGACUCCUCCAUCGACUGAGGAAGUAGUAAGAGAGGGUGAGGAAGGGGAGAAUGAACAAGUGCAAAAUGAGGAAUUGCCACCCCAGCCUACCCUAGAGAUGAUAAAUCAGGUGCUCGCUUAUCUUAGUGGGUUGUCCGAUCAGGGUCAGGCACCUCCAGUGUUUUCUGCACCAACACCUCCAGUUUCAGAGGUACAACAUGCAGCCACUAUGGCUCCUCGUAUGGAUGCCUCAUUGGACAUAGGAAUGUUUCCAUGUCUGACUACUGGGCCUAUAAUGACAAAUGAUCAGCAUGAACUUUUCAGUAAGUUCUUGAAAUUGAAACCUCCAGUCUUCAAGGGUGCGGAAUCUGAGGAUGCUUACGAUUUUCUGGUUGACUGUCAUGAGCUACUACACAAGAUGGGUAUAGUAGAACGGUUUGGUGUUGAGUUCGUGAGUUAUCAGUUUCAAGGGAAUGCCAAAAUGUGGUGGCGGUCACAUGUUGAGUGUCAACCAACAGAGGCACCACCUAUGACUUGGGCCUCAUUCUCUAGCUUGUUUAUGGAGAAGUAUAUCCCCGAACUUUGAGGGAUAGGAAAAGGGAUGAGUUCUUGAGCCUAGAACAAGGUAGGAUGUCGGUCAAUGCAUAUGAGGCUAAGUUUCGUGCACUAUCUCGGUAUGACACCCAACUAUGUUUCAGUCCACAAGAGCGGAUUCGCCGUUUUGUGAAGGGGUUGAGAUUAGAGUUGCGGAUUUCAGCUUUACAGGUAGCGGCUACAGCGAAAUCUUUUCAAGAAGUGGUAGACUUCGUAAUAGAGGAAGAGGGAGUGAAGCCAGAUGACUUCGCCAUGGCAACUACAUCAAAAAGGUUUCGAAAGGGAGGUGAGUUUAAUGGUUCUUACUCUAGAGAACAAGGUUCCGGAGGUUACUCAGUCCGACCAAUUCAGUCUUCACUACAAACUGUAGUUGGGGGUCCACCUCCGACCGGUCAACACUUCUCUGAGAGACCUAUGCAUAAACCCAGAGAGUGCUAUGGAUGUGGGGAGAUUGGACAUAUUAAGAGAUAUUGUCCAAAACAGAGUUACAGACCUCCAAAUGUUAGAGGUAGAGGUGGUCAUGGUAGAGGCCGUUAUUCUGGAGGACGUGGUGGUCGAGGUAAUGGUGGUCACCAGAACGGCCGAGGUGAUGGGUAACCUGUAGCCACUACAUCACAACAUGGUAGGGGCAACAGACAGACGGGUGAGAGGGCCCAUUGCUACGCUUUCCCUGGGAGAUUUGAAGCAGAGACAUCAGAUGCUGUCAUCACAGGUAAUCUUCUGGUUUGUGAUUGCAUGGCUUUUGUAUUGUUUGAUCCUGGAUCCACAUUUUCUUAUGUAUCUUCCUCAUUUGCUAAUGUUCUAAAUUUACAUUGUCAAUUACUUGAUAUGCCUAUUCGUGUUUCUACUCCGGUGGGUGAGUCUGUGGUAGUUGAAAAGGUAUGUAGGUCUUGUUUGGUGAACUUUGUGGGGAUCAACACUUAUGUAGAUUUGGUUAUCUUAGAAAUGGUUGAUUUUGAUGUAAUUCUGGGUAUGACUUGGCUUUCUCCGCAAUUUGCGAUCUUGGAUUGUAAUGCUAAAACGGUGACGUUAGCCAAGCCUGGGACAGAUCCGUUAGUGUGGGAGGGUGACUACACUUCCAAUCCGGUGCGUAUCAUCUCCUUUCUUCGUGCUAAGAAAAUGGUUAGUAAAGGGUGUUUAGCUUUCUUGGCGCAUCUCAAGGAUGACACUACCCAAAUACCUUCGAUUGAGUCGGUUUCGGUGGUCCGUGAGUUUCGGGAUGUGUUCCCUACAGAUCUUCCUGGUAUGCCAUCAGAUAGGGAUAUUGAUUUCUAUAUUGACCUUGAACCGGGUACUCGCCCCAUUUUAUACCCCCUUAUAGAAUGGCUCCCGCGGAGUUAAGAGAGUUAAAAGCCCAACUUCAAGAGUUGUUAAACAAAGGCUUUAUUAGACCAAGUGCAUCUCCUUGGGGUGCUCCUGUUUUGUUUGUGAAGAAGAAGGAUGGGAGUUUUCGAAUGUGUAUAGACUACAGACAACUAAACAAGGUGACCAUAAAGAACAAGUAUCCUCUUCCUCGCAUUGAUGACUUGUUCGAUCAGUUACAAGGUGCUUGUGUCUUCUCUAAGAUUGACUUGAGACCCGGUUAUCAUCAAUUGAAAAUACGGGCAACGGAUGUGCCAAAGACUGCUUUUCGAACAAGGUAUGGGCAUUACGAAUUUGUAGUGAUGUCUUUUGGUCUUACGAAUGCCCCUGCUGCGUUCAUGAGCUUGAUGAACGGGAUUUUUAAGCCGUAUUUGGACCUCUUCGUGAUCGUAUUUAUUGAUGAUAUACUGAUAUACUCAAAGAGCAAGAAAUAACAUGAGGAGCAUUUGAGAAUGGUAUUGGAAAUAUUGAGGGAGAAAAAGCUUUAUCCAAGUUCUCUAAGUGUGAGUUUUGGCUAGAUGCAGUGUCCUUCUUGGGGCACGUGGUUUCUAAGGAUGGGGUGAUGGUGGAUCCUUCUAAGAUUGAGACAGUGAAGAAUUGGGUAAGACCUACUAAUGUGUCAGAAAUAAGGAGCUUUGUUGGGUUAGCUAGCUACUAUCGUCGAUUUGUCAAGGGAUUCUCUUCUAUUGCUUCCCAACUGACGAACUUGACUAAGCAAAAUGUUCCAUUUGUAUGGUCGGAUGAGUGUGAAGAAAGCUUUCAGAAGCUCAAGACUUUGUUGACUACCGCACCCAUUCUCACCUUGCCAGUGGAAGGUAAGAAUUUCAUUGUCUAUUGUGAUGCAUCCUAUUCGGGUUUGGGUGCAGUGCUAAUGCAAGAGAAGAAUGUUAUUGCUUAUGCUUCAAGACAAUUAAAAGUGCAUGAACGUAACUAUCCAACUCAUGAUUUGGAAUUGGCCGCGGUAGUGUUUGCAUUAAAGCAAUGGAGACACUAUUUAUAUGGGGUUAAGUGCGAGGUCUAUACGGAUCAUCGUAGCCUACAGUAUGUCUUUACUCAGAAAGAUUUGAACUUGAGACAGAGGAGAUGGAUGGAACUACUGAAGGACUACGACAUCACUAUUUUGUAUCAUCCGGGGAAGGCGAAUGUUUUAGCGGAUGCUUUAAGUAGAAAGGCGGGAAGCAUGGGAAGUCUAGCUCACUUGCAAGUUUCUAGACGUCCAUUGGCUAGAGAGGUUCAGACUCUGGCUAACGACUUGAUGAGGUUAGAAGUAAAUGAGAAGGGAGGAUUGUUGGCUUGUGUAGAGGCAAGAUCUUCUUUUCUUGACAAGAUUAAGGGAAAAUAGUUUGAGGAUGAGAAACUAAGCAGAAUCCAAGAUAAAGUAUUGCGAGGAGAGGCUAAGGAAGCACAAAUCGAUGAGGAAGGUGUUUUGAGAAUCAAGGGAAGGGUAUGUGUACCCCGCGUCGAUGAUUUGAUCAACACUAUUCUGACAGAGGCUCAUAGUUCAAGGUAUUCGAUACAUCCGGGUGCAACCAAGAUGUACCGUGACCUAAAGCAACACUUUUGGUGGAGUAGAAUGAAGAGUGAAAUUGUUGACUUUAUUGCCAAAUGUCCAAACUGUCAACAAGUAAAGUAUGAACACCAAAGGCCCGGAGGAACACUUCAGAGAAUGCCCAUUCCGGAAUGGAAAUGGGAGAGAAUUGCAAUGGACUUCGUGGUUGGUCUUCCAAAGACGAUGGGUAAGUACGACUCUAUUUGGGUGAUCGUUGAUACGUUAACUAAGUCUGCUCAUUUUAUUCCGGUCAAGGUGACUUACAAUGCAGAGAAGUUAGCCAAAAUCUAUAUCUCAGAAAUUGUUCGGUUGCAUGGGAUUCCACUAUCCAUCAUAUCAGAUAGAGGUACGCAGUUUACUUCCAAGUUUUGGAGAACAUUGCAUGCUGAAUUAGGUACUAGGUUGGACCUUAGUACCGCGUUCCAUCCUCAGACCGAUGGUCAGUCUGAGCGAACGAUUCAAGUGUUGGAGGAUAUGCUUCGCGCAUGUGUGAUAGAGUUUGGAGGCCAUUGGGAUAGCUUCUUACCCUUAGCGGAAUUUUCAUACAAUAAUAGCUAUCACUCAAGCAUUGAUAUGGCUCCAUUUGAAGCAUUGUAUGGUAGGAGAUGUAUGUCUUCCAUUGGUUGGUUUGAUGCGUUCGAGGUUAGACCUUGGGGUACUGAUCUCUCGAGGGAUUCGAUGGAGAAGGUGAAAUCUAUUCAAGAAAAGCUUCUAGCGGCGCAAAGUAGACAAAAAGAAUAUGCAGAUCGAAAGGUUAGAGACUUAGAGUUCAUGGAGGGAGAACAAGUCUUUCUGAAGGUUACGCCCAUGAAAGGGGUGAUGUGGUUUGGUAAAAGGGGUAAGCUAAGUCCAAGGUACAUUGGUCCCUUUGAAGUACUUAAGCGAGUAGGGGAGGUGGCUUAUGAAUUAGCCUUGCCUCCAGGGCUGUCCGGAGUACAUCCGGUAUCCAUGUGUCGAUGUUGAAAAGAUACCAUGGGGAUGGAAACUAUAUUAUUCGUUGGGAUUCAGUCUUGCUAGAUGAAAAUUUGACUUAUGAGGAGGAGCCUGUUGCCAUUCUAGAUAGAGAAAUUCGCAAGUUGAGAUCAAGGGAGAUUGCAUCCAUCAAAGUUCAAUGGAAGAAUCGACCCGUUGAAGAAGUCACUUGGGAGAAGGAGGCAGAUAUGCGAGAAAGAUACCCACAUCUGUUUACAGAUUCAGGUACUCCUUUUCGCCCUUGUUUUCCUUCUUGUGAUCGUUCGGGGACGAACGAUGGGUAAAUUAGUAUCUAUUUUAACGACCUGUUUAGUCGUUUUGAGCAGCAGAUUUUAUUUCUGAAAAAACAGGCUGAGGCGACGGACCCCACGACGGACCGUCAUAGGCACGACGGACCGUCGCAGGGUCUCGUUUCAAAACGCUUAGAAAAUCUGAAAUUGGGUACUGAAAAUCGACUCUCUGAACUUUGCAACGGAAUGGCAGGACGGACCGUCACAGGUGUGACGGACCGUCACAGACUCUUCAGAGAAAUUGAGUCUCUGAACUCUGUGACGGGCAGCAGGACGGACCGUCGCAGGCGCGACGGGCCGUCACAG
rnacentral:lncRNA from 1 species